rnacentral:rRNA from 1 species
UACGUAGGGGGCAAGCGUUGUCCGGAUUUACUGGGCGUAAAGAGCGCGUAGGCGGAAGCUUAAGCGGUACCUGAAAGCCCCCGGCUCAACCGGGGAAGGUGGCGCCGAACUGGGCUUCUUGAGGGCGAUAGAGGAAAGUGGAAUUCCGGGUGUAGCGGUGAAAUGCGUAGAUAUCCGGAGGAACACCAGUGGCGCAGGCGGCUUCUGGGUCGACCCUGACGCUGAGGCGCGAAAGCGUGGGGAGCGAACGGG